AUGCAAGUCGAACGGCAGCACAGAGGAGCUUGCUCCUUGGGUGGCGAGUGGCGGACGGGUGAGGAAUACAUGGGAAUCUACUCUGUCGUGGGGGAUAACGUAGGGAAACUGACGCUAAUACCGCAUACGACCUACGGAUGAAAGCAGGGGAUCUUCGGACCUUGCGCGAUUGAAUGAGCCGAUGUGGGAUUAGCUAGUUGGCGGGGUAAAGGCCCACCAAGGCGACGAUCCGUAGCUGGUCUGAGAGGAUGAUCAGCCACACUGGAACUGAGACACGGUCCAGACUCCUACGGGAGGCAGCAGUGGGGAAUAUUGGACAAUGGGCGCAAGCCUGAUCCAGCCAUACCGCGUGGGUGAAGAAGGCCUUCGGGUUGUAAAGCCCUUUUGUUGGGAAAGAAAUCCAGCCGGCUAAUACCUGCAUGGGAUGACGGUACCCAAAGAAUAAGCACCGGCUAACUUCGUGCCAGCAGCCGCGGUAAUACGAAGGGUGCAAGCGUUACUCGGAAUUACUGGGCGUAAAGCGCGCGUAGGUGGUCGUUUAAGUCCGUUGUGAAAGCCCUGCGCUCAACCUGUGAACUGCAGUGGAUACUGCGCGACUAGAGUGUGGUAGAGGGUAGCGGAAUUCCUGCUGUAGCAGUGAAAUGCGUAGAGAUCAGGAUGAACAUCCAUGGCGAAGGCAGCUACCUGGACCAACACUGACACUGAGGCACGAAAGCGUGGGGAGCAAACAGGAUU
rnacentral:rRNA from 1 species